UGGAACUGGACAUUUGGCUGUCCAAACUCCCAGGCACAAGGCAUUCCGGUCCCACUCUAUUGUGACAUAUGGAUUAAUGAUCCUUAUCUAGGAGGGACUCUGAUUUAUCCUCUGCUAUGUCUUCUUGGGUUAAGUAGGCCUGGGCUGUGGGUCAGCAGGGAGGGAG